rnacentral:rRNA from 1 species
CCUACGGGAGGCAGCAGUGGGGAAUUUUCCGCAAUGGGCGAAAGCCUGACGGAGCAACGCCGCGUGAGGGAUGAAGGCCUCUGGGCUGUAAACCUCUUUUAUCAAGGAAGAAGAUCUGACGGUACUUGAUGAAUAAGCCACGGCUAAUUCCGUGCCAGCAGCCGCGGUAAUACGGGAGUGGCAAGCGUUAUCCGGAAUUAUUGGGCGUAAAGCGUCCGCAGGCGGCCCUUCAAGUCUGCUGUUAAAAAGUGGAGCUUAACUCCAUCAUGGCAGUGGAAACUGUUGGGCUUGAGUGUGGUAGGGGCAGAGGGAAUUCCCGGUGUAGCGGUGAAAUGCGUAGAUAUCGGGAAGAACACCAGUGGCGAAGGCGCUCUGCUGGGCCAUCACUGACGCUCAUGGACGAAAGCCAGGGGAGCGAAAGGGAUUAGAUACCCUAGUAG